UUGCUGAAUUUGCCACAGCUCAUCAACUGGAUAUGAAGGGUUUGGACUAACAAGGCCACAUAUCAGUCUACACGUAGAUCUGUUUGCCAUAGCUAUUGAGUCCCAGUUACUGGUGUUGAUUGCUGAAUUUGCCACAGCUCAUCAACUGGAUAUGAAGUGUUUGGACUAACAAGGCCACAUAUCAGGUAUAACUAUAAGAAUCUCCCUGUUGUCACAGUUACUGUAUUACACGUAUUUCUGAUUUUUUGUAAUUGUAAAUUUAUUGAGAAAUUCUUUCUAUUUCAGUCUACAUGUAGGUCUGUUUGCCAUAGCUAUUGAGUCCCAUUUACUAGAUACAUGUGUAUGUGUUGAUUGCUGAAUUUGCCACAGCUCAUCAACUGGAUAUGAAGGGUUUGGACUAACAAGGCCACAUAUCAGUCUACAUGUAGGUCUGUUUGCCAUAGCUAUUGAGUCCCAUUUACUAGAUACAUGUGUAUGUG